rnacentral:rRNA from 1 species
UACGUAGGGGGCAAGCGUUAUCCGGAUUUACUGGGUGUAAAGGGAGCGUAGACGGCAGUGCAAGUCUGAAGUGAAAGCCCCGGGCUUAACCCGGGAACUGCUUUGGAAACUGUACGGCUGGAGUGCUGGAGAGGUAAGCGGAAUUCCUAGUGUAGCGGUGAAAUGCGUAGAUAUUAGGAGGAACACCAGUGGCGAAGGCGGCUUACUGGACAGUAACUGACGUUGAGGCUCGAAAGCGUGGGGAGCAAACAGG